UACGUAGGUGGCAAGCGUUUGUCCGGAUUCACUGGGCGUAAAGCGCAUGUAGGCGGGUUGCACAAGUCCGUUGUUAAAGCCCCUGGCUCAACUGGGGGAGGUCAAUGGAGACUGUGCGACUUGAGGGCAAUAGAGGCACGUGGAACUCCCGGUGUAGCGGUGGAAUGCGUAGAGAGUCGGGAAGAACACCAGUGGCGAAGGCGACGUGCUGGGUUGCACCUGACGCUGAGAUGCGGAAAGUGUGGGGAGCAAACGGG
rnacentral:rRNA from 1 species